CUCUCUUUCGCGCUAUUUUCUUUUCCUGAGAGUUACAAUAUGGAAAUCAACUGCCUUAAUCUACACUCUCAUUUCCAAUUUUUCUUCGUCGUGAUUUUGUAUAAACGGAUCACAGACACGGCGCGCGGACCUUCGGUUCUAGGACGAGGCUCGUAGCUCUUGUUCCGCAAGAGGUUUCUCCGUAGAAAUUGCAAUGGCGACACACUUGGCGUGUUCAAAUCUCUAUAUGCUCUUCGAUACGAUAAAACGCGGUCUGGAGCUCUCGCAAUCUGCUAAUAUAUUACGCAUCAUCCGUUGUAAUGAUAUUUGGAGGUCUAUAGUGCAAUAUCUCGAGUAUAUUAUUGUUCGCAAUGACUGUUGCUGAUUUUAGACGAUGACUAUUUCAUCUUUGGCGCUGUUUUUGGCGAUAAACGAGUCAUGCUUACCGCUAAGAUUACCGUUUAAGCUAUACAAUGCACGCGGAGGUGGUUUGUCUCUGCAAUUUGAAGUGCAAGGAUGUUGGGAGUCUAAUAAUCAACGAAGCUUUGGACCUACAGGUGGUAAGGGUAAGAGGAUAUGUUACAAUGAUUACAUUACUUGACCCAAAAAA